rnacentral:lncRNA from 1 species
AAGGAUAACUCGGCUCUGGAGAGUAGAGAAUAUGCCUUCUCUUCUGCCCCUCCAGGAACCUUACUUUUUUUUUUUUAAACAAAAAACAAAAACAAAAAACAAAAACCAAAAACCAAAAACCAACCACCACCUUUUAUUUAAAAGUCUAACCUUGGGAAUUUGCUGGGGAGAAGGAACUCAGUGAAUAUUGCCCUGGGUCCUGGUAAUUCCACCUACUGAAGACAACUGCCCCUUCUGCUCAUAUUUCCUGAGUCAACAUGGCCGUUCCUAACUUUGAAGAGACUUUAGACAUUCUUUGUUACAAUGAACCUAGAAGAAAGAAGAGAAAUAUUACAGCGACUGUGCCCGGGACUGUAAGGCGGAUAAGACCCAGCAGGUUCCUGCCCUGAUUUCCCUGGAUGAUGGACUAUGAGCAGUAAGGUAAAGGAAAGUGUUUCCUUCUCAAGCUGCGUUUGGUCAUGGUGUUUUAUCACAGCAAUAGAAGUCCUAAUGAAGACACUCUCCAGGGCAAGGUCUCUGAUGACAGCUUGCUUCACUUAGUCAUGUACUGCAAAGAAUGCCCUCCCCUUCAUUCUUCUCCCAUGAUCACACUGCUGGGGACAGAGAUAAAUGCUGUGUACUUAUCUGAUUAAACUAUCUGUUAUUUUAAAUCUAUUUCAUAGAGGCUUCUUCCUCUGGUAGACAUCUUGUGACACAACAUAUUAAACAUUAUAUCCAUAUCACAGA